CAUACAGUUAGGGUCAGAGAAUGGGCCUGAAUUCUCUACCACUCCAUAGCUCCUCAAGAGAUGAGGUAUCCCGUCAGAGAAGACAGGAAGCCUUGACUACACUCAGGUGUCCCUGGGAACCCUGGACAAAAUCACAUCUUAUUGCCUUUGAAACCACCCUCUAUAGCUUUAAAUGCUCCCCUAUCAGUGGGGAGUAAUACAAAGAUACUUGGUUAUAGCUCUAUAUACAUUGAUAUAAUUAUGUAGUCCAAAAAACUAUACUGAUGGCAGUCCAUUUCUCAUCUAUCAAAUUGUUUCAUGUUACAUGUGACUGAUUUGAUCAUACUCAGCAAUUUAUACGAGCUUCUUCUCCCUUUCCCAUUGCAGUAAACUAACAAACAUAACCCAUUUGAAUUGAAUCUGGGUAUGAAGACCAGAUCACGUUCAUAGAUUAUCCUCACACUUGUCAUAAGAGAAAUAUUUACCUGAAAGCCUUUUAAGGCAUCUGAAGAACGGGAAUCAAUGAUUUCUCUUCUGGGCAAGACUGGUAAAAAUUGGAGUAACUCUUUUAUUACGUGUAACAAAAGCUCUUGAACAGAGCUAUUGUUAGACGUUAUGGAUAAUUAUCAAGGGAAAUGCUAAGCUUCCUUCAUUAAAGACUUGUAGAAGUUAUCUUGGUUAGACGAAGUUCUUGAAAUAAACAACAUUACUCUGAUGAAA